AAAUUGAAGAGUUUGAUCAUGGCUCAGAUUGAACGCUGGCGGCAGGCCUAACACAUGCAAGUCGAACGGUAGCACAGAGAGCUUGCUCUCGGGUGACGAGUGGCGGACGGGUGAGUAAUGUCUGGGAAACUGCCUGAUGGAGGGGGAUAACUACUGGAAACGGUGGCUAAUACCGCAUAACGUCGCAAGACCAAAGAGGGGGACCUUCGGGCCUCUUGCCAUCAGAUGUGCCCAGAUGGGAUUAGCUGGUUGGUGAGGUAACGGCUCACCAAGGCGACGAUCCC
rnacentral:rRNA from 1 species